GAGGAAACUGAGACAAAGAGGAUUCAGUGACUUGCCCAGGGUAACACAGCUGCUCACUCUCUCUCUUUAAAAGAAAAUGAGUGGGGACCACGCUAGGCAACAACCUCCUCUUGACAAUGGGCUACGACUGGAGGAAGAAGUUCCACUAGCCCGGAAGAGCUCAAGGAGAAGAUGGAUACUUGAAGACUUGGAGCAAGAACUCACACAGCUGGGCAUCCCCUUAGAUAACCCCCAAGGACUGGAUCCAAGUGGGGAGUCACAUCUACCAUCCAUCUUCGAUCCCUGUUUUUGUGGAUGUGCCCUGAGAUCAAAAUCUGUGCUGCACCCCCGCCCCCCUUCAGGCACUUCCCAAGACGCCACCCCAAAGCUCCUCCAGUCAGCACCUAGGGAGGAGCCAGCACCAACAACGACUAGUCCCACAACUCAACCAGAUUUUCCCACAACAUCCCGGACCGGUUCCCCAGCUCCUUCUUCUGGGAGGAGAUCUCAAACUCCGAGCAAUACUCCACCUGUACGACAACUAGUCCCACUGCCUGUUUGGCCCCAACCCUUUCGUUUCACCAUCCCUAAGACCAAGCCUCAAAGGGUUCACAAUCCUCCUGUUGAAUGUCUAGGUCCCAGGUUCCCAAGAUGGAGAGAGAAAAAACAGACCUCUUUGCCGUCUCCUCCUAUCUUUACUCCCCUUAAAAUAAAGUAUAGUAUUUGAUUCAA